rnacentral:rRNA from 1 species
AGUGAACGCUGGCGGUAGGCCUAACACAUGCAAGUCGAACGGCAGCACAGUAAGAGCUUGCUCUUACGGGUGGCGAGUGGCGGACGGGUGAGGAAUACAUCGGAAUCUACUUUUUCGUGGGGGAUAACGUAGGGAAACUUACGCUAAUACCGCAUACGACCUACGGGUGAAAGCAGGGGAUCUUCGGACCUUGCGCGAUUGAAUGAGCCGAUGUCGGAUUAGCUAGUUGGCGGGGUAAAGGCCCACCAAGGCGACGAUCCGUAGCUGGUCUGAGAGGAUGAUCAGCCACACUGGAACUGAGACACGGUCCAGACUCCUACGGGAGGCAGCAGGUGGGAAUAUUGGACAAUGGGGGGAAGCCUGAUCCAGCCAUACCGCGUGGGUGAAGAAGGCCUUCGGGUUGUAAAGCCCUUUUGUUGGGAAAGAAAAGCAGCAGGUUAAUACCCCGCUGUUCUGACGGUACCCAAAGAAUAAGCACCGGCUAACUUCGUG